ACUGGGGGCUUGGGGAUGAGCUAUUGGCAUUUAGUAUGUAGAGGCCAGGGAUGCUGUAAACAUACUGUGAUGCACAGGAUAGCACCCCAGCCCCCAACAAAGAACUAUCCAGCUCAAAAAUGUCAAAAAUGCUGCAGUUGAGAAACCCUAGCAUAGAGCAAAUGGAGAUACUUAGGAGUUAGGAUGAAGCCAAGGGAGAAAAGCAGAGCUAAAACUAAACUUGAAGACGGGGCUAGCUACCAAUAGAAAAUAGAAAAGCGUCCUGUUCACAUGCAGGAACACAGAUCACUAUCUUCAGGAACACUGAUAAUAGGGAUAUCAGCACAGUGGGGGGCUGAACUUGGAAGACAAUGACCACAGAUGGGCAGGAGCUUAUCUGCCUGUGCCUCAGACUGGUUUCCCCAGGGCAUUUUGUGAUUACGCACAUCCCGGCCCAUUUGUUUCUAAUUGCAGUAAAGACCAUGCUCUGUUAUAUCACUAAGGUGACUAUCAUCAAGGUUUAGAGGAAAUAAAUUCACAAGAUGCUCCAUAAAAGUAAUCUCUACUUUUUGGCACCCAAGUCCAUCAAGCAUUGAUGAGGCAAGCAGGAAACCUAAUGAAAAUAAUACAAGGAAAUCUUUUCAUCAACACCCAUCCCUAAUGUCUCAGCUAUCAGGUCAUUGUUUGGGCUUCUGUAGGUGGGCUCUGCAUCCGCAGCCAACAUAGGAAAUUCUGAUUUUAAACAAGCCUAAGUAGUAAUUUUUUACCACAUGAUCUAAGCCAGUUAAGUGAGGCCAACCCUGCGUUCAUUAAGAUGUAGUGGAUUUUAAGUGUAUUUAUAAUAUUGCUUCUCUGUUUCUCAUGCACAAGACACACACUUAAGAGACAGCACAAUAGGGGCUUUCAGUGUUUGUGGUGUAGUCAUCCACAUUUUUUUUCCAAAGGAACUUGCACAGAAAAUUGAAAUGGGUUUAAAUAUUCUUACUUUAUUGCCAAAGAUAGCAGUGGAAUCCUUUGAUGUUUUGUGAUGACUCCUUAUUUCUCUUGGGUAAAAAUGAGCAUUUCGUGACAUUAUAAUCAUCUUGCUUUAUCUGUAAAGAGUUAAAGGUGAGAAUCACUUUCUACUAUGCCUUAUAAAAUAGCCUGGUGAAGAAGUUUAUAGAGCCCUGUGAUAAAGGAUGGCCCUCAGGGACAUGGACCCCGUCAGGGAGUAUUUAAUGAGAUUUUCGGCUUGGGCAUCUACAGCGGUUGUAACAGGACUAGAGUGUCUUGAGUGACAGGCACACAACAUGAAAAAUCAUAGAAGCAGGGGAAUGGAGUGGAGAAACAACUUAAAGCCCUUCAUACCGCUUUUAAAAAUUUUGCAGGUUUGUCACAAGUUGGACCGAGCAGGUUCUCCUCUGCUGACCUGGGCGCUGGUUCACAGCUGUCACACACUCCUAGGUGGGGGUCUCCCAGUUCGCUUCCAGAUGCACCGAUUACUCCCAGAUGUGACUCCAAGGAGAAAGGAAAACGGAUGUAUGGCUGGACUCCCAAACCCUUCGAUUCUCCACCAGCUGCCCCCUGCUGCUCAGAUGCACAGAGAAGAUCGAAGAGGACACACUGCAAAGAAAUGGAUACUCUUCAUUAUUUUAAGUCUGGCCUCAACUCCUCAGUGUUGGGUUCUGGAGAAGGAAACCCUGUUCUCAACUUUUCCCUAAGGAGGAAAAGCAAUGCUUGAAAUUGUUCAGGCUCCAGGCUGCUCACUGAAGCCACUUUUGCUGGGGGUGGCGACUUCGGGGAAGGACACAUGGUGUCCAUUUCUGAUGUGGACGGUGGGGCCCUGCAUUUCGUUGUUACUCUGAGUUCUGAGAUGUGGUUUCAGCUUGGGGAGGAACAGCAGGCAUGAUAGCGUGCUUGAUUCAGUAGUGUUUAGACCUAACCAGCGUCGGAAGAAUAAAAUGCUUCCAUAUGAUCCAACCUAACUCCCUGGGGUACUGCUUUGGCCCAAAAUCCUGGCUAGUAAGAAAGUACAGUAUUUCCUAUUUUGCCCCAGUUGUGCAUGCAGGGCCUUUUGAGGAGGACUCGUGGCUAGCCAAGGCAGGAACUGGGACUUGAAUAUUCUUGGAAUCCCAUCUUAAUGUGACUCCUGCAUAAGAUCAACCUCUCAUUUGCUGGAAACGAGAGCCAGCACAACUGCAUUUGUAUAAACCAGACAGAGUACAAGAGUCCAGGCUAAAGAUGUGGUUCAUUUGCUCCUUCCUUUUUAUCCACAUCCAAACAGUGGCCACUAAUACAACUGAGUCAGGUCACAAGAGGAAAAGGAAAAUAAGCCGUACAAAACAACACAAAGGGAAAGAUUAUUUUAUACUGUAAAAUCCAGAGCAUAGCAGGUGUCACCUAGGAAGGUCCAGGUGCUACAGGGAAGAUUUCUUAAAGACUUGUCUUUGUCAUUCCUCUCACAUAUGUGUAUUAAAUACCUACUGAACUAGUAGUAUCACAGUGAAAGAAUUACAAAAUAAUGUCCCCACCUUAAAAGAAUUCACUCUGAUCUGGCUGCCUGGUAGGAAUAAAGAACCCAGACAGAAUCCCUUCUCCAGAGUGUUGUUUCAAAUACAAAAGUUACUUUUAAGGAGAAUAAGCAAUUAUGAAUGCACAUUAAAUGAUUUAAUUCAUUCACAUGGCAAAAAGACACAAGGAAAGUGCUCAAUCUAGGUUUCUGUUCAAGUUCUUCUUAGUUCAUGACACAGAGUCAAGGAAAACCACUCCUUCUUCCACGGGACC